UACAGAGGGGGCAAGCGUUGUUCGGAAUUACUGGGCGUAAAGGGCGCGUAGGCGGCCUUCUAAGUCAGACGUGAAAUCCCCGGGCUCAACCCGGGAACUGCGUCUGAGACUGGAAGGCUCGAAUCCGGGAGAGGGAUGCGGAAUUCCAGGUGUAGAGGUGAAAUUCGUAGAUAUCUGGAGGAACACCGGUGGCGAAGGCGGCAUCCUGGACCGAGAUUGACGCUGAGGCGCGAAAGCCAGGGGAGCAAACGGG
rnacentral:rRNA from 1 species